UCAACAGAGAUUUUGUGGAGAAGUGGAGGAAGGAUUUCCCUACUCCUGUUGAGGCAAGAAAGAGUCAAGAAUGCCACAGUGGUGAUAUUAAAUUGCUGUCUUUCACCGAGGACAUCAGGCAUCUGCACACAUACCUUAAAGACAAACUCACUAAGUGCAUGUCUGCGCUGUGUACAUCAGCAAACCAAGCCGCAUGGCAUGAUCUGGCCAGGGUUGUUCUUGCCCAGCUGAUCAUGUUCAAUAGGAAAAAAGCCAAUGUGGUUGCCCAGCUGACUCUGAAGGAUUUUACCACCAAGGAAGCCUAUGGCAUGCCAGAUGACAAUGCUGAGCUUUUGACACCGUUUGAGCGCGAGCUUUGUAAGUUCACCUGCAGGAUUCAGAUUUCAAGAGCAACUGGAGACAACGUGCAGAUCCUUGCUCCUCCAGCUUUGACCAACAUCAUGGAAAUUAUGUUCCAUAGGCGAAUGUUGUGUAACAUACGCUAUGACAAUAUUUACUUGUUUGCAGUGCCAAAGACCCGAUCACACUAUUUGGGUGUUGAGACCCUUCAAGGCUUGGCUGAAGACUGUGGGGCAAAGCACAUGAAGGCAUUGGUCUCAAAUGGACUGAGAAAACACGUUGCUAUGAUAUCCCAACUGCUCUACUUGAAGGACAUGCAUCAACUAACAGAGUUCAUGGGAUUCAAUCUAACAGCUCACCUGAGGAAUGAUUGCCUCCAACAAGAGACUCUGGGAUUGGCCAGGCUUGGCAAGGUUUUUACAGCCAUGGAGAAGGGACAAUUGAAAGCCCCAGAACAGAAUGUACAUGAGGUUCUUGUCAGCCCAGAUGAAAUUGUGCAGCAAGCCGAUUCGUCCUCAGCUGAUGAAGAUGAUGAAAAACAUGAUGACUACUGUCCCUCAAAAUCAGAUAAAUCACAACAUCGUGUAGUGAAAAGAAAUCCAAAAAGAAAGGGCGUGGCGAAACAGAAAUGGAAUCAAGCAGAGAUCCAGGCUGUGGAGACGCACAUGGCCAUGUUCAUCAGCUCGGGCAAGACCCCAGGGAAAAAGGCGUGCACUGCCUGCAUCGUGGCUGAACCAGACGCUCUAAAGGCCAGGAACUGGACAGCCAUCAAGUUUUACACCAAAAACCGCAUCACUUCCCUGCGCAAGCAAAAUAGUAAACCAUCACAGACAUAAGGGCACUGAGGUUGAAUAAAGAAGAACUGCAAUACA
rnacentral:lncRNA from 1 species